rnacentral:rRNA from 1 species
AUGACAGCUUGGAUUCUACCAAGAAGUCCGAAGCUUCAUAAGAGGUUCCACAAAGGAACCCCAGGGUUAAACCCCCUGCCCAGAGUAAGAAUCCGAAGACUCUCCGAGCAUUUUUCCUUAAGGCUCAUUCUAAUCAUAUCCCCCGAGCCCUGGGCCUCGUCUUCGGCAGCGGUUGCCAAUGUUGCGGAGCUGGCUGAAAUGAAACGGAAGCUCAAGAUCUCCAAUGAGGAGCUCGACCAUGUCAACAAGCGAUUUGACAAAGCGCAAGUUGUUGCCGUGGAGGUCGAGAACCUUAAGGCCAAACUGAAGAAGUCCAAGCAGGAGGCUGCCGAACAGAAGUGGCGGCUGAUCGAGCGGUCGUCGAGCUGUCGACGGUGGUUUUGCCCCAUCAGCUCGUGGCGCCCGCACCCAAUCACCCGCGUCUCGCCCCACUCCCACCCCAGCCGCCAAACGAACCCUAGCCCGCUUUCUCCCUUCCCUCGAUCCCCACGAGCCGCCGCACCCCUCCCUCCCCAAUCUCCACAGCCGCCGCACCUCUCCCUCGAUCCCCACGAUCCUCUCCUCGCCCGCAGCCGCCGGCCUCGUCUCUCCACUCGCCUACUCCUCUCCUCUACCAUGUCGUCGUCGAUCCCACCGCCGGCCUUCUCCACUGCUUGCCUCUUCCUGUCCGCUUCCAUGUCACCGUCGAUCCAGAUCGGAUGUGAAGGAGGAGGCCGGCGAGGAAGGCAAGCAACAGCGGGGAAGGAGCAGGUGAGCAAUCCUAGCGCGGGGAACAUCCGUGGGGACGGCGCCGUCGGCCAGGGGCCAUUCGCCGUCGUCGGCCUCACUCGCCUCGUCUGCUCUCUCUUCACCAGCCCGACCAUAGAGGAUGGGAUGAGAAAGUCUGUGGCCAGCGAAUGGAGCCCCACCUUUGCGUUUCUGUCGCCGCCGAGGAACGUCGCAGCCACUCGCCCACACCAGCCAAAAAGAUUUGGGACUUCACAAUCUGAUGCUGAGCAAGUGGACAUCCAUGUCCCAAAUGAGAAGGCUGGGUUGCUCAUUGGGGAGGGAGGUGAGACCAUUGAGCUUUUAGAAACUAAGUCUGGGGCUGGCAUUCAGGAUAGUGCUAUGACUAUAUGCAUGGAUGUCUUUAUCCAUCCCCAAAUGAGAAGGCUCGGAUGCUCAUUGGGGAGGGAGUUAAUCCCGCAUCAUCUCCCCGAAGGUGAUCUUUCCACAGAAAGAAAAAUACAACUUAGUGGGAAUUGGAAUCAAAUAGAGAUUGCAAGAACAAUGGUCGUGGAACUCAUUAGUCAGGCCUCUUUCUUUGUUACUUCUGAAACUCAACAUAUGGGGAUUUUGAGAGGAUUUUCAUGUCUGACCAGGGCUAAACUGAGAAAAUAUUGCAAGAGCUCAUCCAUGUACUUGCUUGAUUACACCAACUUGGGAGCACUAUCAAGAAGCUUAUGUAGUUUGUCAUUGAUUAUUGAUGUCAUAACAAGGAUAUGCCAUACACACGAAGAUACUCCUAUUAACACGAGUGCCAUCAGUAUAGUGACCUUGUGCAUCAGCAUGAAGGGGAGCCUUGGCGCAGUGGUAAAGCUGCUGCCUUGUGACCAUGAGGUCACGGGUUCAAGUCCUGGAAACAGCCUCUUGCAGAAAUGUAGGGAACGGCUGCGUACAAUAGACCCAAAGUGGUCGGACCCUUCCCCAGACCCUGCGCAAGCGGGAGCUACAUGCACUGGGGCUGCCCUUUUUAUUUCACGUGCCUAUUUGUAUGAGAGAUUUGUUAUUGACCUAAGGCCAAGUGUAUCACUAUCUAUUUAUCAUCCUUGGUGUUGGGAUCAAGACGAUGAGUAUGAUGAUGCCAUUGAUUCACAUGAUGAUCUUGGUGAUGAGUAUGAUGAUGCCAAUCAUAUGUUGGUGUGA